rnacentral:rRNA from 1 species
CCGCCUGUUUACCAAAAACAUCGCCUCUUGUUCCGAUAUAAGAGGUCCAGCCUGCCCAGUGACCAAAUUUAACGGCCGCGGUACUCUAACCGUGCAAAGGUAGCACAAUCACUUGUUCUUUAAAUGAGGACUAGAAUCAACGGCAUCACGAGGAUCUUACUGUCUCCCCCCUCUAAUCAGUGAAACUAAUCUCCCCGUGAAGAAGCGGGGAUAAAAAUAUAAGACGAGAAGACCCCAUGGAGCUUUAAACCCAAUAACACCCACUUAUUUUACAUCUUUAAAUUUACAAGGACAUGUUUAUUUGGUUUUAGGUUGGGGUGACCACGGAGUAUAAAAUAACCUCCAUGAAAAAAAGAUUAAUAAUCUUUAUCAGAGAAAUACACUUCCNNNAAUUAAUAAAUUAAUUUUUAAUGAUCCGAUAUUCGCCAUCAACGAACCAAGUUACCCUGGGGAUAACAGCGCAAUCCACCUCAAGAGCUCCUAUCGACAGGUGGGUUUACGACCUCGAUGUUGGAUCAGGGUAUCCCAGUGGUGCAGCAGCUACUA